GAUGAACGCUGGCGGCGUGCCUAAUACAUGCAAGUCGAGCGAACGGACGAGAAGCUUGCUUCUCUGAUGUUAGCGGCGGACGGGUGAGUAACACGUGGAUAACCUACCUAUAAGACUGGGAUAACUUCGGGAAACCGGAGCUAAUACCGGAUGAUAUUUUGAACCGCAUGGUUCAAAAGUGAAAGACGGUCUUGCUGUCACUUAUAGAUGGAUCCGCGCUGCAUUAGCUAGUUGGUAAGGUAACGGCUUACCAAGGCAACGAUGCAUAGCCGACCUGAGAGGGUGAGCGGCCACACUGGAACUGAGACGCGGUCCAGACUCCUACGGGAGGCAGCAGUAGGGAAUCUUCCGCAAUGGGCGAAAGCCUGACGGAGCAACGCCGCGUGAGUGAUGAAGGUCUUCGGAUCGUAAAACUCUGUUAUUAGGGAAGAACAUAUGUGUAAGUAACUGUGCACAUCUUGACGGUACCUAAUCAGAAAGCCACGGCUAACUACGUG
rnacentral:rRNA from 1 species